AUUGAACGCUGGCGGCAGGCCUAACACAUGCAAGUCGAACGAGUGGCGGACGGGUGAGUCAUGUCUGGGAAACUGCCCGAUGGAGGGGGAUAACUACUGGAAACGGUAGCUAAUACCGCAUACCAUCGGAUGUGCCCAGCUGGGGUGAGCUAGUAGGUGGGGUAAAGGCUCACCUAGGCGAAGAUCCCUAGCUGGUCUGAGAGGAGGACCAGCCACACUGGAACUGAGACACGGUGCAGACGCCUACGGGAGGAAGCGUUGGUGAAUAUUGCACAAUGGGCGCAAGUCUGAUGCAGCCAUGCCGCGUGUAUGAAGAAGGCCUUCGGGUUGUAAAGUACGUUCAGCGAGGAGGCGUUACUCGCAGAAGAAGCAGCGGCUAACUCCGUGCCAGCAGCCGCGGUAAUAC
rnacentral:rRNA from 1 species